rnacentral:rRNA from 1 species
GACGAACUGUCCUAACGUUGUUCGGAAUCACUGGGCUUAAAGGGCGCGUAGGCGGUCCAACAAGUCAGGGGUGAAAUCCUGCAGCUUAACUGUAGAAGUGCCUUUGAUACUGUUGGUCUUGAGGGAGAUAGGGGUGUGCGGAACUUCCAGUGGAGCGGUGAAAUGCGUUGAUAUUGGAAGGAACGCCGGAGGCGAAAGCGGCGCACUGGAUCUCUUCUGACGCUGAGGCGCGAAAGCUAGGGGAGCAAACGGG